GACAGAGGUGGCGAGCGCUGUUCGGAAUUACUGGGCUUAAAGGACGAGUAGGCGGUGGAGCAAGUCUGAGGUGUAAUCCUAUGGCUUAACCAUAAAACUGCCUUGUAUACUGUUUCACUUGAUUCAGUGAGGGGAGGGCAUAAUUCCCGGUGUAGCGGUGAAAUGCGUACAUAUCGGGAGGAAGGCCAGUGGCGAAGGCGGCCCUCUGGCGCUGAACUGACGCUGAGGCGCGAAAGCGUGGGGAGCAAACAGGAUUAGAUACCCUGGUAGUCCACGCCCUAAACGGUGGGCAUUAGGUGUAGGGUCCGUAAGGGUUCUGUGCCGAAGGGAAACCAUUAAAUGCCCCGCCUGGGGAGUACGGCCGCAAGGUUGAAACUCAAAGGAAUUGACGGGGGACCGCACAAGCGGUGGAGCAUGUGGUUUAAUUCGACGCUACGCGAAGAACCUUACCUGGGCUUGACAUGUUAGUGGUAAAAGCCCGAAAGGGUGAUGACUUGGGGGUAACCCCUUGAGCUAACACAGGUGCUGCAUGGCUGUCGUCAGCUCGUUCCGUGAGGUGGUGGGUUAAGUCCCGCAACGAGCGCAACCCUUAUCCUCUGUUGGUUGGAAACAACCUCUCUGAGGAAACUGCCAGCGACAAUCUGGAGGAAGGCGGGGAUGACGUCAAGUCCUCAUGGCCCUUAUGUCCAGGGCGACACACGUGCUACAAUGCACGCUACAGAGGGUUGCAAUACCGCGAGGUGGAGCCAAUCCCUAAAAGCGGUUUCAGUUGGGAUCGGAGUCUGCAACUAGACUCCGUGAACGCGGAAUCGCUAGUAAUCGUGGAUCAGCCAUUCCACGGUGAAUACGUUCCCGGGCCU
rnacentral:rRNA from 1 species